rnacentral:rRNA from 1 species
GUUUGAUUAUGGCUCAGGAUGAACGCUGGCGGCAUGCCUAAUACAUGCAAGUCGAACGGAGUGAAGCCUUCGGGUUUCAUUCAGUGGCGAACGGGUGAGUAAUACGCAGGGAACCUGGCCAUGGCAGGGGGAUACACUCUGGAAACGGAGCAUAAGACCCCAUAGGCAGUAAGGCGGCAUCGCCUUGCUGUUAAAGAAAGCUGAAAGGCUUUGGCGAUGGAUGGACCUGCGGUGCAUUAGCUUGUUGGUGAGGCAACGGCUUACCAAGGCGAUGAUGCAUAGCCGGCCUGAGAGGGCGGACGGCCACACUGGGACUGAGACACGGCCCAGACUCCUGCGGGAGGCAGCAGUAGGGAAUUUUCGUCAAUGGGCGCAAGCCUGAACGAGCAAUGCCGCGUGAGUGAGGAAGGUCUUCGGACUGUAAAGCUCUGUUGCCGGGGAAAAAGGGGAAAUGCAGGAAAUGGCAUUUCAUGGAUGGUACCCGGCCAGAAAGCCACGGCUAACUACGUGCCAGCAGCCGCGGUAAUACGUAGGUGGCGAGCGUUAUCCGGAAUGAUUGGGCGUAAAGGGUGCGCAGGCGGUCUGUUAAGUCUGAAGGCAAAGGGAUGAGCUCAACUCAUUUAUGAUUCAGAAACUGGCAGACUUGAGGACAGGAGAGGGCGGUGGAACUCCAUGUGUAGCGGUAAAAUGCGCAGAGAUAUGGAAGAACACCAGUGGCGAAGGCGGCCGCCUGGCCUGUGACUGACGCUGAGGCACGAAAGCGUGGGGAGCAAAUAGGAUUAGAUACCCUAGUAGUCCACGCCGUAAACGAUGAGGAGCAGGUGUUGGGAGUGAAAUCUCAGUGCCGAAGCCAACGCAGUGACUCCUCCGCCUGGGGAGUAUGCACGCAAGUGUGAAACUCAAAGGAAUUGACGGGGGCCCGCACAAGCGGUGGAGUAUGUGGUUUAAUUCGAAGCAACGCGAAGAACCUUACCAGGUUUUGACAUCGGAUGCGAAGGCGCAGAGAUGCGCUGGAGGCUAUCAUCCAGACAGGUGGUGCAUGGUUGUCGUCAGCUCGUGUCGUGAGAUGUUCAGUUAAGUCUGGCAACGAGCGCAACCCCCGUGGUAUGUUACUAACGCAUUUGGGCGAGGACUCAUAUCAGACUGCCGGUGACAAACCGGAGGAAGGCGGGGAUGACGUCAAAUCAUCAUGCCCCUUAUGGCCUGGGCUACACACGUACUACAAUGGCGUCUACAGAGGGAAGCGACCCUGAGAAGGGAAGCGAAACCGGAAAAGGGCGUCCCAGUUCGGAUUGAAGUCUGCAACCCGACUUCAUGAAGAUGGAAUCGCUAGUAAUCGCGGAUCAGCAUGCCGCGGUGAAUACGUUCCCGGGCCUUGUACACACCGCCCGUCAAACCAUGGAAGCCGGCAACGCCCGAAGCCGGUGGCAUAACCUUUUAGGAGUGAGCCGUCGAAGGCGGGGCCGAUGACUGGGGUUAAGUCGUAACAAGGUACCC